CACGCAGGCGGCUGCGCCAAGUCUGACGUGAAAGCUCCUGGCUUAACUGGGAGAGGUCGUUGGAAACUGGCCGGCUUGAGGAAAUGAGAGGGGUGUGGAAUUCCCGGUGUAGUGGUGGAAUGCGUAGAUAUCGGGAGGAACACCAGUGGCGAAAGCGGCACCCUGGCAUUGUCCUGACGCUCAUGUGCGAAAGCGUGGGGAGCGAACG
rnacentral:rRNA from 1 species